GACGUCAAAGCUUUAAACAUCUCUGUCAAAGCACUACGGCUGAAUUGUGCUCGCUCUUGUGUUUCUCUGAGAUCGAAGGACUUUGAACAGUUAGGGUUUUGGUGGAAAGCAGGAGAAGGAAAUGCUGGAACGGAGCAUUAUGUUCAGACAUUCUACAUUUUUAAAAGAACAUCAGCCAUACUGGUUGCUGGGCGCCUCUACCUGCUAAAUCUGCAAAAGCAUCAGCUACGUGAAUACCCUAAACAUGAAUACCCUAAACAUGGCCACAAAUUGCAAAAUGCUCUUCCAGUUGCUAAGCGCCACUUGCUCUCUGUAGCUCUGUUGCUCUCACAAAGCGUUCCCUGCCUGGAAGAAAACCAAAAAAAAGGCUUCAAAGCUUUUUAACCAAAGAGAGAAAACAGCACAGACAGACACGGAGCCUUGAAUAUUUGUGGUCAUCAUCUAAUAUGAUUAAAUCUGAACCCCCCCCCCCGUCAGUUAAUCACAUCCAUGGGCUUUGGUAAUCGGCUCUGGUGCACAGAGGGUGACGGUGACUGGGCAACAGCCCGUGGUAAGAGUCACACAGAGGAUGGCAAAGAGAGGGAGAGAGAAAAAGAGAGAGAGAGAGAAAGCAAAAGAGAGAGAGAGGGAAUGAGAGAGAGAAAGAGAAAGAGUGCACCAGCAUGCUGCCCACUGGAUCAGAUGGUCCAUGACUGACACUCAGUAGUGAGUCUGUUUAAAAGAGCUGCAAUCUGGUGUUUAAAUGUCAGAUAAUACCAACUGUAAAAUCAGCCAAUGAACAACAUCACACUUGAUAAAUAACAGUGGUUCUCUGUCAACAAUAUUGCAAAGGGCCUCGUAGUGUGACUCACUAUCAUACACUAGAAACCCUUCUGAAGGCUGUGUACUGAUGUAAAAUAUUGAAUAAGAAAACUAGAAGUAUAUAAUUUCAUAGCUCCAAAGGAUUAUACUGUGCCAACCCACAUAAGGCAACAGACACACACAUAUCCAAAACAACACAAUAACAUUCCUGCAGCAAAGCAUCAGUGUGUAUAUUGGAUGUGAUUGGCUCUCAUAAUCUACACAGACAUGUGUUUCAAAACAUGAUACAUGUGCAUCAGCCCACGUACAGUAAUGCCUCAUGUGAACUGCAAGCACGUGUGUCGCGCACAAUGCAUUUCAAUGACACAUCUCAACAGCAAUGGGCCAGAGGCUAUUCCAGAUUAAUACUAGUGUCAUAAUAAAAAAAAAAAAAAAGGUUUUGUAACAACCUCCUCGUGUUUUCCAGGGUCACUAAUGUGGUGGUGAGUUCUGUUCUGAUCCACUUGAGGGUGGGCGGCCGCUACGGCCCUCCUCCUCAUCAUCACCCCCACACAUCAGCAGCACACUCACUCACUCCCAUACAUCAACCAACCAGAAGAAAAAAACCACUGUGCACGAAAACCGCCCACUCGCUGUGGCAUGGGAGGCUAAUUAUCUCGUUGCGAUUCCUCAGAAGUCUCCCACUGUUCCCGGCAGCGCUUACAUAACGCCAUGUACGCCGCCGCUGCUGCUGCCACCGCCAGCUCCUCCAUACCUUCAAACGGUGACGUAAGCCCCACAGACAACACCUCGUCCCACACACUCCAACACCUACAGACUAGCAGGCAUGACAAAAAGGAGCCGCACAGGCUUUUAAGGGCUCAGAGAGAGACAGAGACAGAGACAGAGAGAGAGAGAAGCAGGGAUGGCAGACACAGAGCUGAGGUCCUCGCUUCCCAAGCCUGAUAGCGUCCACAUCAUGCCUGCGAAGAGCAGAAUGCUCACAAGGAGCCAUGAGAAGACAUAUGGAGUUGAGACAAUACCAAGCUGCUAUUUUAGGAAGAGCUGGGGUAUGCUCAUGUAUAUGGAUAUCUGAUCAUCUGCACUGACAUAUCCACAAUGACUGUCAAUGACUGAUGUGAUCUUUUCACCUUAUCUAUAUUAAAAACAACAUUACUGUCAAGUAGAUGAUGACAAGAUGUAUUAAGUUCAAUGGUCACUUGAAGCAUGACAUUUGUAAGAUAUUGAGCACUAUUAACAUUCUUCACUCUCAGAGUAUGCUGUGUUAACUUGGAGUGAAUGGCAGCUUGUCACUGUGCCCGACACUGUACAGGGUGUAUGUCACUGGGAGUUAAAGAUCAUUUCACUGGGAGUCCACUGCCUGUGUGCCAUUUCAGAGGUAAAUGUGCCAUUAUUAUAGCACCAUGUGAGAACAAAAUAAAAUCUCUUACAGAAA